UAAUCUUCAAAGGGCACCCAUCGAAGACUUUGGAGAAACACGCUCCCAUCAGCACCUUUGGCGUUGGUGGCAAACCAUUGAUUGCUGGCUUAGGAAAAUCUCUUUUCUCUUUUUUACGUGGCAGCUGAGGGAUUUGUCCAGAUCCUUCUGCAUUUUCCUCAAUGAGUUUCAACAUGCCGUCCCCAUUCCCCAAGUCGCUGUAUCUAGCUGUGAGCAAUCCUG
rnacentral:lncRNA from 1 species